rnacentral:rRNA from 1 species
ACGAACCGUCCAAACGUUAUUCGGAAUCACUGGGCUUACAGAGUUCGUAGGCGGUCUGGAAAGUUGGGUGUGAAAUCCCUCGGCUCAACCGAGGAACUGCGCUCAAAACUGCCAGACUCGAGGGAGAUAGAGGAAAGCGGAACUGAUGGUGGAGCGGUGAAAUGCGUUGAUAUCAUCAGGAACACCGGUGGCGAAGGCGGCUUUCUGGGUCUUACCUGACGCUGAGGAACGAAAGCUAGGGGAGCGAACGGGAUUAGAUACCCCGGUAGUCCUAGCCGUAAACGAUGAGCACUAGGUCGUGGGCCUCCACAGGCCCUCGGCCGUAGCGAAAGUGUUAAGUGCUCCGCCUGGGGAGUAUGGUCGCAAGGCUG